rnacentral:misc_RNA from 1 species
AUUUUUUUGGCUUGAUAAAUUUCUUCAUCCAUAAAAUACUGGCUAAAUUAAAAAGGAUAAACCAGAUGGAGAAAAUACUAAAAAAACCAAGUCAAGCAUCUCCUUGAAAUGAUGGUGAAAAUUUCAAGAGUUUUUAAGGGCACACACUCAGGUCACAAAAAUUUGUAUUAAUUUCAUUUUAUUCCUUUAUCUUUGCUAAGUUGUCAGAAAAAGAGAUU